rnacentral:rRNA from 1 species
GGACUACCAGGGUUUCUAAUCCUGUUCGCUCCCCACGCUUUCGUGUCUCAACGUCAGAUAUGGACUAAGAAGCUGCCUUCGCCAUCGGUGUUCCUCUCGAGAUCUACGCAUUUAACCGCUACUCCGAGAAUUCCACUUCUCUCUUCCAUCCUCAAGUCUACUAGUUUCCACUGCUUUUCCCCGGUUGAGCCGGGGUAUUUAACAGUAGACUUAAUAGACCGUCUACACACCCUUUACGCCCAGUAAUUCCGAAUAACGCUUGCACCCCUCGUAUUACCGCGGCGGCUGGCAC